rnacentral:rRNA from 1 species
CACGUAGGGUGCAAGCGUUGUCCGGAAUUAUUGGGCGUAAAGGGCUCGUAGGCGGUCCGUCGCGUCGGGAGUGAAAACUCGGGGCUCAACCCCGAGCCUGCUUUCGAUACGGGCGGACUAGAGGUAGGUAGGGGAGAACGGAAUUCCUGGUGUAGCGGUGGAAUGCGCAGAUAUCAGGAGGAACACCAACGGCGAAGGCAGCACUCUGGGCCGGUACUGACGCUGAGGAGCGAAAGCGUGGGGAGCAAACAGG